rnacentral:rRNA from 1 species
UACGGAGGGUGCGAGCGUUGUCCGGAAUCACUGGGCGUAAAGGGCGCGUAGGCGGCCUGAUAAGUAGGGGGUGAAAUCCUGCGGCUUAACCGCAGGGCUGCCUUCUAAACUGUCAGGCUAGAGCACAGUAGAGGCAGGUGGAAUUCCCGGUGUAGCGGUGGAAUGCGUAGAUAUCAUUUGGAACGCCAAUGGUGAAAACAGGUAGCUGGGAGUGUGCUGACGCUGAGACACGAAAGCCAGGGGAGGCAAAACGGG